ensembl:lncRNA
GCAGAGUGCUGAAAGUGCGCAAAAAAACGUCUGUCCUUGGUUGAAACACUCGAGUUCCUCUGGAAGCAACGUCAGCCCUGUUCGUCAGGAGCUUCAUGAAAUGGGUUUCCGUGGACGAGCAGCCGUACAUAAGCUUAACAUCACAAUACCAAGUAUCUGCUGGAAUGGUGUGACGUUUGCCACCAUUGGACUCUGGUGCAGUGGAAAUGCAUUCUCUGGAGUUAUGAAUCACGCUUCACCAUCUGGCAGUUUGAUGGACAAAUCUGCGUUUGGCGGAUGCCAGGAGAAUGCUACCUGCCACAAUGCAUAGUGCCAACUAUAAAAUUUGGUGGAGGAGGAAUAAUGGUCUGUGGCUGGUUUUCAUGGUUUGGGCUAGGCCUCUUAGUUCCAGUGAAGGGAAAUCGUAUCACCUUACAAUGGUAUUCUAGACGAUUCUAUGCUUCCAACUUUGUGGUAGGCCCUUUCCUGUUUCAGCAUGACAAUGCCACCAUGCACAAAGUGAGGUCCAUACAGAAAAAGAACUUGACUGGCCUGCACAGAGCCCUGACCUCAACCCCAUCGAACACCUUUGGGAUGAACUGGAACGCUGACUGCGAGCCAGGCCUAAUCGCCCAACCUCACUAAUGCUCGUGACAAUGUAAUAAAGUCCCGCAAGCAAUACUCCAACAUCUAGUGGAAAGUUGUCCCCGUAGUAGAGGCUGUGAAAGCAUCAAAAUGGAGAACCAACUCCAUAUUGUUGCCCAUGAUUUUGGAAUGAGAUUUUUGAUGAGCAGGUGUACAUACUUUUGGUCAUGUAGUGUACACUGGAGUUGUUUACCAAGCUGACAUUACAGUUUUGACUGCAAAUUGGCUUGAAAAUCUAUGGCAAGACUUAAAUGGCUGUCUCGCAAUGAUCCACAACCAACUUAACAGAGCUUGAAGAUUUAAAAAUAAAAAAUAAAAAAAAUAUUUAAAAAAAUGGUUGUGCAAAGCUCUUAGAGACUCAACACUGUAAUCGCUGCCAAAAGUGAUUCUAACAUGUAUUGACUCGGGGUUUGAAUAGUAUUUUGUGUAGAACGUUCCAUUUUAAUCCCGAUUUGUAACAAAUUGUGGGAAAAGUAAAAGGGGUGUGAAUACCUUGAAGGAACUGUAUAUCCUUGCCAUUCAUCCAAUCAUACAACAGUUAUAUGUCUGUGGUAUCGCAUCCAGACAACUAAACAUCUAAUUUAUGUUUUCUAUAUGAAGUUCAUCAGAAC